UACAGAGGGUGCGAGCGUUAAUCGGAAUUACUGGGCGUAAAGCGUGCGUAGACGGCUAUCUAAGUCGGGUGUGAAAGCCCCGGGCUCAACCUGGGAAUUGCAUUCGAGACUGAAUAGCUAGGGUGCGGUAGAGGAAGCGGAAUUUCCGGUGUAGCGGUGAAAUGCGUAGAUAUCAGGAGGAACACCUGCGGCGAAGGCGGGUUGCUGGGCUGACACUGACGCUGAUGCGCGAAAGCUAGGGGAGCGAACGGG
rnacentral:rRNA from 1 species